rnacentral:rRNA from 1 species
AUACGGAGGAUCCAAGCGUUAUCCGGAUUUAUUGGGUUUAAAGGGUGCGUAGGUGGCCUAUUAAGUCAGGGGUGAAAGACGGUAGCUUAACUAUCGCAGUGCCUUUGAUACUGAUGGGCUUGAAUACAGUUGAAGUGGGCGGAAUGUGACAAGUAGCGGUGAAAUGCAUAGAUAUGUCACAGAACACCGAUUGCGAAGGCAGCUCACUAAAGUGUGAUUGACACUGAGGCACGAAAGCGUGGGGAUCAAACAGGAUUAGAUACCCUGGUAGUCCACGCCCUAAACGAUGAAUACUCGAUGUUGGCGAUAUACGGUCAGCGUCUAAGCGAAAGCGUUAAGUAUUCCACCUGGGGAGUACGCCCGCAAGGGUGAA